GCCUGCUAUCUUAGCUUCUUUCGGUUCGGUUCGGUUCGCUUCGUUUCGCCAAGAGAGAGUCCUUGACUUUUGGAAUGCGGACCACUGAGAGAGCUCUCCAGGUACGUCCAGAUAGCUCCCGACGAAUGAACGCACACGUGCAAACAUCUCUUGCACUCUCUCGUUUCGUUUCGCUCGCUCGGUCUCUCUUACUAACCGAACGAUAAAAGGACUCGGUGCUAAACGAUCCGGUACUUUGUCCUGCACCUGCCUUUCGUUUCUCAUAACGAACGACAAAUUUUUCAAACCUUCUUCCACUUUCUAAUUCUCUUGGAGUAAUAAGUAUAACGAAAAGAUAAGAGGAUAUAUUUAUUUCGUACAAAUUCGUACAUCGUUCGUUUUCUCUUCGGAAUAAAAGAGAGAAACGGGCGCGUUGCUACGUUCGCAGCGACAUUGACGAGAUCUCAAGGUCCAAGUUUUGUCUCGAGACUAGCUACGGCCGAAUGAGCGAGCGAAUAAGAGAGAAAAAGAGAGAGAGAGAGAGAGUGAGAUUUCCGACGAAAUAUCGAAUAUUUUUUAUGAAGACCGCCUAGUGGCCACGUCAUCGCUCGUUUCAGAGCGAAGAGAGACGCGCAGGGCACGCGCGAACGAGCGAACGAGCGACCUUGCGUUUGCUUUGCAUAUACAUGAUGUGGCUUUGGGCAUGGUCGCGCGGGACGCAACCUUGGCGGGAGCAUAAAACGAAGGAAGGCACCGUGAGACAGGAGAAGAGAGAAGAGAGAGAGAGGAGGGAGAUGGUGACGCCGCUGGAUGGAUGGAUGGGUGCUCGGCAAACGAGGGAAAGGGAGAGAGAGAGAGAGAGAGAGAGAGAGAGCGAGAGAGAGAAAGAGAGAGAGAGAGAGAGAGAAGAGCUACGUCACGCCACUUUCGGUUUUAUCGGCGUAUAUCCGGUCGACUCUGCGAUUUCCUCGCGAGUAACGUCUCUCGAGAAUACGUUCCUUCUUUUUUCAUCGAUGGAGAGGAAGCUCUGUAAUCGUCUAAGUUCUCUACACGCGGAAGACCUUUUUCCGCGGACGGUGAACUCGGACAGGGAAUCGAUACAUCGAGAUACACAGCAUAUACCCGCGUCGCUUGCUUCGAGGUGGAGAGAAUGGCAGCUUGUUUUCGUGGGAGAGGAGAGAAUGAAAAGGUCGAUUAGGACCGAGGAGGAGGAUCGGCAGGCUAAAAAUAUUUGAACGAGCGACAAAGUUUCGCGUUCGGCUGUAAAACCAGGACAAUGGCUGCUGCGAAACGAAAACGGGCUUUACACCUUUUUUCUUUUCUUUUAUUUUUUUUCUUUUUUUUUUUUUUUUUCUUUUUUUUAAGCAAACGAACGUUUAUCGACACUCUGACAACAACGUCUCGAUAAUUAAUCGUUGUAUGAUCUUUAAAAUAUGAAACAAUGAAAAAUAUCUUUUAUUUUUCCUCGAUUAUUUCGUUUAUUCCUUCGACCUAUUUCCAAAUAAAAAUUCUAUUCCAGCAAUGAAGAGAGCAGCGUGCAUCCUAACGGAUGAUCCCAGCAACAGCGUGGGAAAGUCGUGUGCGUUCGAACGCGACGGAGAAAAACCAGAUGCAACUCCCUUUUUACUUUUAAAGCCACUUUCGCCGUCUCCCGAUGUCGAUGAUCCUGAUCGCGGUUAC